rnacentral:lncRNA from 1 species
CCUGCCUCUAGGCUUGCGGAACCAACUGCUGGGAGGCAGCUGGGUUUGCAGAGAGGCCGGUGGUCAGCAGCACCUGUGAGGCUAUCAGUCCCUUCUUGGAACGGUUCUUCAAAAUUUACAGUAUGGAAAGCCCAGCGGUGAUGUUCAAGCCUCUACUGAGAAAACAGCAAGGGCUUUGGAUCAGGACAGACCUGAUGUCCUUGACUUUUGCGUAUGUCCUCUUUGCGUUUUGGAAUCCCAUUCUGGAUACCGCAUCACAUUUAGUCAUCGCAUCUCAUCUCGGCUGUGGCAGAUGUGAACAAGACCUCAUGAUGCUAUAGUUGCUGCUGGCAGCCAUCUUGUGACCAAAACAAGAAGGGCUUUUAGGAUAAAGGAAACACUCUAGACAGCAGAGGAGAAAGACAAAAACAUCUGUAUCCCUGAUGUCAUAGCUUGAGCCAUGGAAUCAAAUCACCCUGCAGUUGGCUGUUGUACUUCUUGCUAUGUGAAAUAAUACAGUUCCUUAUUGUUUAAGCCUGA